rnacentral:rRNA from 1 species
AGAGUUUGAUCAUGGCUCAGGGUGAACGCUGGCGGCGUGGAUAAGGCAUGCAAGUCAAGGGGACCGCAAGGUAACCGGCAGACGAGGUAGUAAUGCGCAGGUACGCACCGAAGAGUCUGGCAUAGCUCGUCGAAAGACGGGGUAAUUCCAGAUGGUGAGGCGACUCUAAAGGAGCAAUCCGCUCUUUGAGCGACCUGUGUCGCAUCAGCUAGUUGGUAGGGUAAUGGCUUACCAAGGCUAUGACGCGUAGGGGACCUGAGAGGGUGACCCCCACCGAUGGUACUGAGACACGGACCAUACACCUACGGGUGGCCGCAGUCGAGAAUCUUCCGCAAUGGGCUAACGCCUGACGGAGCGACGCCGCGUGAUGGAUGAAGUCCCUCGGGACGUAAACAUCUUUUAUGCGCCAGAAAGUUUAUUGAUCAGCGCAUGAAUAAGGGGCUGCUAACUCUGUGCCAGCAGCAGCGGUAAUACAGAGGCCCCAAGCGUUACCCGGAAUCACUGGGCGUAAAGGGUGUGUAGGCGGCGCUGUUAGUCUCUCGUGAAAGGCUUUGGGCUUAACCCAGAGACCGCGGGGGAAACGGCAGUGCUUUGAGGAUGCGAGAGGUAAAGGGAACUCAAGGUGUAGGGGUGAAAUCCGUUGAUAUCUUGGGGAACACCAAAUGCGAAGGCACUCUACUGGCGCACUCCUGACGCUGAGACACGAAAGCGUGGGUAGCGAACGGGAUUAGAUACCCUAGUAGUCC